GACGAACGCUGGCGGCGUGCCUAAUACAUGCAAGUAGAACGCUGAAGGAGGAGCUUGCUUCUCUGGAUGAGUUGCGAACGGGUGAGUAACGCGUAGGUAACCUGCCUGGUAGCGGGGGAUAACUAUUGGAAACGAUAGCUAAUACCGCAUAAUAGUAGAUGUUGCAUGACAUUUGCUUAAAAGGUGCAAUUGCAUCACUACCAGAUGGACCUGCGUUGUAUUAGCUAGUUGGUGAGGUAACGGCUCACCAAGGCGACGAUACAUAGCCGACCUGAGAGGGGGAUCGGCCACACUGGGACUGAGACACGGCCCAGACUCCUACGGGGGGCAGCAGUAGGGAAUCUUCGGCAAUGGACGGAAGUCUGACCGAGCAACGCCGCGUGAGUGAAGAAGGUUUUCGGAUCGUAAAGCUCUGUUGUAAGAGAAGAACGAGUGUGAGAGUGGAAAGUUCACACUGUGACGGUAUCUUACCAGAAAGGGACGGCUAACUACGUG
rnacentral:rRNA from 1 species